rnacentral:lncRNA from 1 species
CAGAAGCCGCCUUUCUUUCCUUCCCCCCUUUUUUUCCUUUAUCCCGGUGGGGGGGGGGAGUCUCCUUUGUAAAUUUCCAACGGAAGGAUCGCAACAGCAAACGGCGCUUUUAGGAAGCGAAGGUCCAAGGCAGCAGCAUCGCACCAAAGUGGGUCGGGGAGAACGAGCGAGAGAAGGGGGGGAGAACGAGCGAGGGGGGCGGGAUAUGGAGACGCUGCCUCGCAGGGUUUGGGGAGGAAGGUGCGUCGGGGGAGCGGUGGCGGGGAAGGGGGGGAGGAAGGCAAAAGAGAGAGGCUCGAGUCCAGCGCAAGGGAGGUUCAGCUGGAAGGGCAAGGAGCGGCGAAGGCGGCUGCUUCCUCCAUCAAGCCCGGCGAGCGAGAGACAGAGCAGGGAGGGGGCCGCCCGUUCAAGCAACAGAUGAGCAGGAGGAGCGCGCCGGGCGCAGGAGGAGCGGCGUGCGCUUUCGAGGGAGAAGGGCUUCCUCGGGCGAUGCGGAGCCUCCAAGGCCGCUCGCUUGAGUCCAGGCGAGUUCAGUUCCUCCGGGCUCCAGCGAGGAGCGAAUUAAUCCCAGGAAGAGCGUCCAGGCGCAGCGGGAACCCGGCGCUAAAGGGCCCGGAGGUGGCGAUGGAGACGCGCGGCUGGCGCUGGCAUGAUCGCCCUCCUCUCUUCUCGCGCUCUCCACGCCGCCGGCACGCACCUGAGGCAGAGGCUGGGCUGCUCAGCCGGCGGCCAGGCAGGUAGCGCGCGCGCGCUUCUCUCGCGCUCUUCCACACACCUAGCACCUGCUGCUGCUGCUGCUGCUUCUCCUUCUCCUGCUGCGCUCGUGCCGCCCCGAGCGGGCGCCGCCUCUCUCUGGGGACCCGGCGGGAUGGCAACAUGCUGAGGAGGAGGAGGAGGAGGAAACGGCGGCGGCGGCAGCGGCGGCCGCCACUCUCUGCCUCGCUGCCCUCUCGUCACCCAGCCCCGCGAGCGAAGAGCGACUGACACACGCGCGCGCGCUCGCACACAGACCCACACACAGUGAGAGAGAGAGAGGGAGAGGGAGAGCCCGCCAGGCGAGCCGGCUGCACCUCAGGGAGGGGGUGGGCGGGGAGGGAGGAGGAGGAGGAGGGGCCGGGCCGGCGAGCGGAGGGGGGAAGAGGGCGGGGCCUCGGGCAGCACCUUACACGAGAGGAGGAGGAGGAGCGCGCCAGCCGGGCUUGCCUUGCCUUCCCGCCUGGCUGGCUGCACGCAGAGUCUCGUCGGCUCUCUGCCCGGCUGCACAAGUCUGGACGCUCCAGCCAAACCACAUGAUCACAACACGAGCGGGCGCCGGGCUUCCCCCUUCGCUGCCGUCGCGCGAGCUGCAGGGCGGGGGGCGACGCCACCGACCGACGGCACCUUGGCAGCGCUCAGGCCCGCUCAGGACUUCGCCUUGCCCGCUCCUGCCCCGCCACCGCAGCACGUCCCGCCGAAGGUCUCUCUCUCGCGCGCGCCACACUUCUCACAAGCAGGAGUGCUGGCAUUUCUGA